rnacentral:tRNA from 1 species
GGCACUUUGGCGGAGUGGUUAACGCGCUGCCCUGCUAUAUCCAAAUGGACUAUGAAAGGCAGUCUUUUCGAAGGCGUGAGUUCGAAUCUCACAGGUGUCG